AAUAAAGUUGCAUAAUCAUAAAAAAAUGAUGGUUUUCAAUUAACUAUUUUUGCAUGCAUAAUGUAGUAUUCGCUAACUUUAUAAAAACUACAAAUGCCACAUAUACGGCAACAAAAAAGAAAAGAAAAAGACAAUGGCGGUUUUCAAAGAACUAUUGUUUUAACUUACCUCUUUCCGGAGCAGCACAAGCGAUUCCAACAACGGCCAGCAGACAGAAAACCUUCAUUGUGUUCUUGGAUGGAUCUCCCCGAAGCAGUGACUGUCUCGUAAAGAUAUGGCCUUUUAUAUUGUUCGGGGAUGACCCGCCAGAUAACAAACGUCACCAGUUCUGGUGAAGAACAUCUCAAAAGUCU
rnacentral:sRNA from 1 species